GAAUGGGAUCAUACUAGCACUAAAGCACCGGAUCCCAUCAGAACUCCGAAGUUAAGCGUGCUUGGGCGAGAGUAGUACUAGGAUGGGUGACCUCCUGGGAAGUCCUCGUGUUGCAUUCC
rnacentral:rRNA from 1 species